rnacentral:rRNA from 1 species
CCUACGGGAGACAGCAGUGGGGAAUAUUGGGCAAUGGGCGCAAGCCUGACCCAGCAACGCCGCGUGAAGGAUGAAGGCUUUCGGGUUGUAAACCUCUUUCAACAGGGAAGAACGAUAAAUUUGCUAGUCCCUGGAGAAUAAGCUCCGGCUAACAACGUGACAGCAGCUGCGGCAAUACGUAGGGAGCGAGUUUUACCCGGAAUGAUGGGGCGAAAGGGGUUCAUAGAUGGCAUAGCACGUCUUUUGUAAAAAUGCUGGGCUCAACCCAGUAGGGCCAAAGAAACUGCAAAACUAGAGUGUGACAGAGGAAAGUGGAACUACAUGUGUAGCGGUAAAAUGCGUAAAUAUCUGUAGGAACAUCAGUGGCGAAGGCGACUUUCUGGGUCAAUACUGACACUGAGGAGCGAAAGCGUGGGGAGCAAACAGGAUUAGAUACCCCAGUAGUC